UAGAGCUAGACCUACGCUAGGCCACAACGUCUUCUCAGCUAGGCCUUUUCUUCCAGCAAAACCCAUUUAAGAGUGGACCUGUCAGGAGGAACUCUCAGAAUGGAGAGUUAUGGGGAACUGAAAUGUGCACUGGACUGUGGUUACCGUGAUCUAUAUUGCUUGAGAGGGUAUUCUUCAUACAACGUUUAACAUGCCACUUAAAUUUAAUAUACAGACACUGUGAUCAUCAAAGAGAAGAAUGAAUUGUAGGUAGCAACCCAUAGAUGUUUACAUCCAACCCACUGUCAUCGUACAAUUUAUGGGAAUCCUCACAAUGAUAGAGUUGAAACAUUGACUGAUUGAGAUGACUGCAUUCCAACCUCCCCCAACCCCAAACUUUCCUUGUUUCCUAGAUAAAGACACUUUCCCCCAACUUCCAC